rnacentral:misc_RNA from 1 species
GAUGAAGAACGUAGUGAAAUGCGAUAAGUAAUGUGAAUUGCAGAAUUCAGUGAAUCAUCGAAUCUUUGAACGCACAUUGCGCCCCCUGGUAUUCCGGGGGGCAUGCCUGUCCGAGCGUCAUUACAACCCUCAAGCUCAGCUUGGUGUUGGGCCCCGCCGCCCCGGCGGGCCCUAAAGUCAGUGGCGGUGCCGUCCGGCUCCGAGCGUAGUAAUUCUUCUCGCUCUGGAGGUCCGGUCGUGUGCUCGCCAGCAACCCCCAAUUUUUUUCAGGUUGACCUCGGAUCAGGUAGGGAUACCCGCUGAACUUAAGCAUAUCAAUAAGGGAGGA